rnacentral:misc_RNA from 1 species
GAUGAAGAACGUAGCGAAAUGCGAUAAGUAAUGUGAAUUGCAGAAUUCAGUGAAUCAUCGAGUGUUUGAACGCACAUUGCGCCCCCUGGUAUUCCGGGGGGCAUGCCUGUCCGAGCGUCAUUGCCGCCCUCAAGCACGGCUUGUGUGUUGGGCCCCCGCCCCCCGGCUUCGGGGGGCGGGCCCGAAAGGCAGCGGCGGCACCGCGUCCGGUCCUCGAGCGUAUGGGGCUUCGUCACCCGCUCUGUAGGCCCGGCCGGCGCCCGCCGGCGACCCCAAUCAAUCUUUCCAGGUUGACCUCGGAUCAGGUAGGGAUACCCGCUGAACUUAAGCAUAUCAAUAAGCGGAGGA